rnacentral:rRNA from 1 species
UACGGAGGGGGCUAGCGUUGUUCGGAAUUACUGGGCGUAAAGCGCACGUAGGCGGCUUUGUAAGUUAGAGGUGAAAGCCCGGGGCUCAACUCCGGAAUUGCCUUUAAGACUGCAUCGCUAGAAUUGUGGAGAGGUAAGUGGAAUUCCGAGUGUAGAGGUGAAAUUCGUAGAUAUUCGGAAGAACACCAGUGGCGAAGGCGACACACUGGCCCGUUACUGACGCUGAGGCGCGAAAGCGUGGGGAGCAAACAGG